rnacentral:rRNA from 1 species
AGUGAACGCUGGCGGUAGGCCUAACACAUGCAAGUCGAACGGCAGCACAGUAAGAGCUUGCUCUUACGGGUGGCGAGUGGCGGACGGGUGAGGAAUACAUCGGAAUCUACUUUUUCGUGGGGGAUAACGUAGGGAAACUUACGCUAAUACCGCAUACGACCUACGGGUGAAAGCAGGGGAGCUUCGGACCUUGCGCGAUUGAAUUAGCCGAUGUCGGAUUAGCUAGUUGGCCGGGUAAAGGCCCACCAAGGCAACGAUCCGUAGCUGGUCUGAGAGGAUGAUCAGCCACACUGGAACUGAGACACGGUCCAGACUCCUACGGGAGGCAGCAGUGGGGAAUAUUGGACAAUGGGCGCAAGCCUGAUCCAGCCAUACCGCGUGGGUGAAGAAGGCCUUCGGGUUGUAAAGCCCUUUUGUUGGGAAAGAAAAGCAGCAGGUUAAUCCCCCGCUGUUCUGACGGUACCCAAAGAAUAAGCACCGGCUAACUUCGUG